CCUACGGAUGGCAGCAGUGGGGAAUAUUGCACAAUGGGGGAAACCCUGAUGCAGCGACGCCGCGGGAGUGAAGAAGUAUUUCGGUACGUAAAGACCUAUCAGCAGAGAAGAAAAUGACGGUAACUGACUAAGAAGCACCGGCUAACGACGUGACAGCAGCAGCGGUAAUACGUAGGGGGAAAGCGGUAUCCGGAUUUACGUGGUGUAAAGGGAGCGGAGACGGCAGCGCAAGGCUGGAGUGAAAUCCCAUGGCUUAACCAUGGAACUGCUUUGGAAAAUGUGCAGCUGGAGUGCAGGAGAGGUAAGCGGAAUUCCUAGUGUAGCGGUGAAAUGCGUAGAUAUUAGGAGGAACACCAGUGGCGAAGGCGGCUUACUGGACUGUAACUGACGUUGAGGCUCGAAAGCGUGGGGAGCAAACAGGAUUAGAUACCCUUGUAGUC
rnacentral:rRNA from 1 species